rnacentral:lncRNA from 1 species
ACAAGAUCUGUUGCUGAAGCAUUCACCAGGAGAAAUCAGGGUAAAGUGUAUUUACUAGUCCAUACAGUUGUCCGUUCUUCCUAGCCAAAAAAGGCUUAUGCAAGUCAUUUCGUUGGUGGAAUAGCUGAACUAGCUGCCGAAGUGUCUGAUGAGAGUGCAUAUAGAGAACGGAUAGCUAAAGUUUCUCGAGUUGCUGAAAUUGAGGAUCUUCAGGGACCUCAUGAGCCACCAGUUGCAUUGCUAAGUAUCAAAAGUGUUUUAAUUGUUGUUUCAGACGAACAGAGUUACAUUUAACUUGACACCGGAGGUUAUUCAUCAGGUAACCAUGUUUGUUUUAUGAAGUUGUUGAAUUGAUUCAUUAUGAAGAAGUGAAAGCUUGAAUAAGGUCACUAUCAAUGCAGGUUGUUCUUGUUAAUAGUCUAGACGAUGUAGGUCAAGGAUGGGAUACUUCCUCCUUUUAGGUCAUUAUAAGAAAAAGGCUCCUAGGUCUGAUUAGGAGGAGAUGUCGAAGUGAGAAAUAUACUGGAACUAUCAGGUUAGAGGGUUCAGGCUGGAGCAGCAAAAUAGCAAGAGAAAAUUGCUGUAUACUGAGUUGGGUGCUGCCAACACAUACUUGACAAUAGAGGGUGGAGGUAGGUUGAUGCUUCCCACUUUCUGGGCUUGUGAAUUGUGAUGACACAAAUAGGUUGUUAGUCUACGAAUGUUUUCGAGCAACAAUCGUGUGGUAGGAUUUUGUUUGGGUUAUGUCUUUUUUAAACACAAAUAGUUAAAUUAGGUUGCUUUCUGGAAACUAAAAUGCAUUAGUUUCACACCCUCCUUGGAAAUGUAAAUAAUUUAGCUUCAGAAGUAAUUGAGAAAUGCUGCCAGGCUCAUUUUUGAAACCAAUCCUUCAAAAACUAAACCACGGCCAAAUUCGAAUGCCACCUCCUUUGAGUUUUCUAUUCUUGGAACCAAAAUAAUUAGGUUUUACAAAAAAAAAAAGGUAUCAUUUUUUGAACCAAAUAAGUCUGGGUUCUGUUUUUGGAAAUGUUGCCAAAAACAUUUGGCAACCAAAAACCAUUUCAGAUGCGGUUGAAUUGUGGUUUUCAAGAGUUAUAGUUGCAUAGAAUAAAAAAUGAAGAGGUAAAAAGGGAACUUCCAUAUUUAUCUUUUCUCAGCCAAAAAGAAAAAGGAGAACUUCCAGGCAUCAUCUCUUGGGGCUGGAUUUGCAUUGUACAAUUCAGGCUUAAGCACACUUACUUAAAUUGGUCUGAUGAUUGAAUCUUCAAAGCAUCACUGUGGUUUAGAGUUUACACAACUUGUUCCUAAUCCAAACAGGACUGCAAAACCAUCAGAGGAGCUAGCUUUCUGGGCUGUUUCUUGACACCAAUUAUCUAAAGCCAUAACUUGACCACAAGAAGGGAAAGAAUCUGAGAUUCCAAAAUUUUCUGCAAUGCACAGAAAUGUGGAAAAUUCUGAAGACCAAUAUGACCUUGAAACCUUUGAGUAUAUGCUUUGAGCCAGAAAAAGUUGAACUAGCUACAAGAAUAUAACCUGUCUUAAAUUUUUAAGAAAUUGGUCCUAGGGUUUUGGUCUAAUGGUAAGAGUGCAACACAUGAUGUGUGGGUUAGGCACAUCUCGCGUGUUCGAAUCCUACCACAGACAAAAGUCUGGUUUUAAGUGGAGAAGGAUAGAGAGGCAGGCCUAUUAUCCACCGAGUUUCAAAGCGUGCCGGUCGCAUUCUCUGGUCCAAUUGCUUUCUUUCUGUAUUUCUGAUUAAUCCACCACGUCCAAUGGCCCUUGCAGAUUUUUGGGUUUCAAAUUUUUUUCUCUGAAAUUUACAUCAGAAAUAUUCUAUACUUCCCCAGACCCCACUUUGUGGGACUAUACUGGGUAGUUGUUGUUGUUUAAAUAUUCUAUACUUGUGCCUCCAGAACUUAAUUAACAAUCUUUGUUUUCUUUAGAGCUAAAUCUUUUAAAAAGUUUAAAAUGACAUAUCAACAGGCUAGUACGAUAUGUGCAGUGCUUUCUGUUCUGCAGAGCCCACCCCCCGCUACUUAUUGUCUCUUGGAUGUAGUCAGACUCUCUGUUCAGUAAUCAAAAUUUAACACGAAGUUACACGAAAAAGAAUCCAUCUUUGGGUCUCUUUACGUCUCAUUCUUUGUCUGAAGUUGCUGUAAUGUAGUUCUCAAAAAAAAGUUGCUGUAAUAGAUUUCUAAUUCUUCUAGUUCUGAUGUUCUUCCCACAGUUCGUGAAAAUGUAAUACUAGAAGGCUAGGUUAUGGAAUUUAAAUGACAGAAGCUGACAACUGAGCUUUUUCAAGGUUCUUUAUAAUAAAGAAGUAUUGGUGGCUUUUACUUAUAACACUGCUUUAUACUCUGUCUAAUCAUAUGCUGAAUAUGUUUCAGAUUUUUGCUGAGAAACCAGCUGUCCGCCAAGCAUAUUUGAAAUUUGUUCCGGGCAAGGUAAAAGUAUUGUCAGCAAGCGGUAUAGGCAAUUCAUUGGAUUUCAAUCCGAUUAUCUUGUGAGCUUUUCCUGCGCAAAAGCAUGCUGAGGCAGAUAUGCAUGCUUAGCUUGUCCACAAAAAUUGACCUAAUUUAAGAUCAUUGAAGCAUCUUCGAUUGAAGCUUUAGUGAACCUUUUCAAUUACAAUCGAAUAUAGGAGUGGGACAAGAUAACCCCUCUGCUUCCUUAUCGUAAUUCGUCUACAGGUCCAUCUAAACUGCUUUACUAAUAGGUAACAAACACCCAAAGCUACCUAUGAUGACAACGAUUAUCUGAGAAUGAUUCACGUUGUACUUUUAUCGGUCAAAUUGGACUUUUGAAUUCUGAAUCUUGUCAUUUGCAUGGUGCGACCUUUGCUUAUAUUCUCUUUCUCAGAUGUCAGAAAAAGAAUUCUGGACUAAAUAUUCAAGAGCUGAAUACCUCCACAGCACCAAAAAUAUUGUUGCAGCAGCUGCUGAGGCUGCUGAAGAUGAGGAGCUUGCGGUUUUCUUGAAGCAAGAUGACAUGUUAGCAUUUGAAGCUCGUAAGAAGGUGAGUGCACUAGAUGAUUACUGUUUUCAUUGUUUUCUAACAACAUCCAUCCUAAAAGGACUUCCAUCGAAUGUUCUUGUUUCCCGUUUUCCUUUCUCUCUUCCCUUGAGAGAGGUGGAUGGAGAAGUAUUUCCAGAAGUCUUUACAGCAUUUGUGUUCUUUUCAGAUCAGAAGGGUGGAUCCAACUCUGGACAUGGAAGCAGAUGAAGGUGAUGAUUACAUGCAUCUCCCGGUACAUCAACAAAACUUUAUUAUUUAAUCAUCUUGUUAGAUAGGAUUUGCUGUCCAUGUUUUUCCCCAUACAUUGAAUGAAGAAGAAUAAUGUUCUUUGAUAGAAAAGGUAAGGUUCUCUGUCAUAAAGUGGUGAUCAUGGUGUCUGUGGAAAGAAAGUCUGAGAGAGAUAUCAGUGAAAUGGUGGAUUCUUAAUGAGACAAUACUGCUUACGAUAUUUUUUUUCCCAAACAUCCCCUCUUCCGGUUACACUUAUUUUUGCAUAGCUUGUGUACCUUGGAAAACAUAUUUGUUGUGGAUAGGACCUCAUAUUCUUGUAUCUGCUUUGCUAUAACCCCUUAAAAGUGAAAUGGAGCUAACAUAUUCAUAUGCCAUGGUAAAAAAUUAGGAUCAUGGGCUACCUCUUGAUGAAACUAAGGAGAUUCUGGAACCACAGUAUGAACCAUUCAAGAGGUCGUUCUCGCAGUACCUUAACCAGCAUGCAGCAGUAGUUCUUCGAGGAAGAGUUAUAGGUAAGCUUCUUUUUUAACAAGCUCUAUCGUUUACACCACUCCGUUCUGAGUAAUUUCUUUUAGACUCCCUUCCCUGAGACAAAUUGUGAAGCAGACUGAAGUUUUCUCUAUGUCGGGUGCAAAUGAUUAAGAUUUUAUGUGUGCACUACUGGUUCUCUGGUAUGCAUCAUUGCUGUGUCUUCUAUGUGAAUGUCCUUGAUAGCUGCAGCUUAGGGUUGGGAGAGGGAGAGGGAGAGGGAGAGGGAGAGCCUUACAUAGUGGGUUAGUGGUUCUGGCUGCCUUUGUUUAAACUGAGUUGCUAUUAUUUCAUAUUUGACUUGAUGUUUUCCCUUCUUAUUUUCUCACCAAUCUGGGAAGAUGUUGAGCUGGGUGACACAAGAUCUGUUGCUGAAGCAUUCACCAGGAGAAAUCAGGGUAAAGUGUAUUUACUAGUCCAUACAGUUGUCCGUUCUUCCUAGCCAAAAAAGGCUUAUGCAAGUCAUUUCGUUGGUGGAAUAGCUGAACUAGCUGCCGAAGUGUCUGAUGAGAGUGCAUAUAGAGAACGGAUAGCUAAAGUUUCUCGAGUUGCUGAAAUUGAGGAUCUUCAGGGACCUCAUGAGCCACCAG